UUUCUCUUUCUUCGGCCUCUUCUCUCUCUCCUCCGCCCCCCCCCUCGGCGAAGGGGAAAUGAGUGUAAAGGGAGGAGAUAGGGGCAAAAGGAGGCGUCGUUGUUCCUCCUCCUUAAAGGAACCUUUCCUCCUCAGCCCCAGCGCCGCCGCCGUCGCUGCUGCUGCUCCGUGGCAGGAGGAGCCAUUGACACCGUCGGAGCCUCCACUCUAGCCCACCUCCCUCCACCCCAACCUUCACCUGGUUUUCUUAAACGGAACUUGGAGUGAGGGACUCAAUCUUUGGUAACUCCGGAUUUCUGUGCUCGGUCCCACGAAGUCAAGAAAGAUAAACCCCCAAGAGGAAUUUUCUUUUAUAUCUGUAUCUGGUUCCCUUAGCACGAUCUCUCCCCAAGGAAAAUGUGUUUCUAUUCCCUGGCCGCCGUCAUGACUGAAAAUGUACUCCACUCACUAUUCAUUAUUGCAUAGCUGGUAGUUUACCUCUGAAUUCCCUAAUUUUCGGAGGUUUCAGUGAUUUUCUACUUGAAUUUCAUUGAUUGCUUCCUAGGCUUAAGAUAGAUAAAACACUACAAAGCUUCAGAAAAGACAGAAAGGGAGAAAAGUGAAUUCUGGGAGAAGCACAAGGAGAGGUAAGCCAGGAUUGUGCCGUGUGUACCCCCAGAUAUCUUAUGUGACUCCAGGCAAAUUACCCUUCUGGAUGUUAGACAUCUGCCAUUUAAAUAAAACUUUAUCUUAUGGUGUACAA